CAGAAGGUGGGACAAGAUGGCAGAGUAGAGAAAGGAAGGGGGCCCAGCAGUUCCUCAGCACCAGAUUUAUAAAGCAGGAAGACUUGGCCUCAACUAGCAUUCAGCACCCAUGUGGUUACUUUCACAAUUGAAGUUGCACCUAAAUUCCUCAGUGGUUCCAGUGUGGACAUCCACCCUUGUUAAACAUUAUAUGCUUAUUGCUUCAUCUUUAUUUCACUCCUGGAAGAAUUGGAGUUUGGGAUGUAUAUUCUAGACUACCUCAUCUAGAAACAGCAAAAAGGGG